rnacentral:rRNA from 1 species
AUUGAACGUUGGCGGCACGCCUUAUACAUGCAAGUCGAACGAGAAAGUACCUUCGGGUACGAGUACAGUGGCGGACGGGUGAGUAACGCGUAGGAAUAUACCCAGUAGUGGGGGACAACUCGGGGAAACUCGAGCUAAUACCGCAUACACUCUACGGAGAAAAGUGGGGGAUCUUCGGACCUCACGCUAUUGGAGUAGCCUGCGUUGGAUUAGCUAGUUGGUGGGGUAAAGGCUCACCAAGGCGACGAUCCAUAGCUGGUCUGAGAGGACGAUCAGCCACACUGGAACUGAGACACGGUCCAGACUCCUACGGGAGGCAGCAGUAGGGAAUCUUGGUCAAUGGGCGAAAGCCUGAACCAGCGAUGCCGCGUGUGUGAAGAAGGCCUUAGGGUUGUAAAGCACUUUCAGCAGUGAAGAAACCCCGGUGGCUAAUACCCGCCGGACUUGACGUUAACUGCAGAAGAAGCACCGGCUAACUCCG